GGGGGGGGACGACACACACGCGUUUUUCCCAGCCAGCCCCGUUCCCCUCGGUUCCCCCCUCCCCGGUGCCUCCCGCAGCCGGCUCAGCGCCCGGCCCGCCCGUGCAUCGCGGGAGCGCCUUGACAGCACUUGCGCCCGCGGCCAGGACAGCGCGGGGACUCGGAGCCGGGGAGCAGAACAAGGGCAUGGGAACUGCAUCUGUGCACGCUGGCAUCCUUGUCCGUUCCUCACGUGGUAUUUGGUAUUUGGAGCCUGCAGCACAGCACCUUUGCCAGGCACACUGACUGUCAGUGCUUGGGGCUUUGGGGGAGCCCACAAGGGACCUGCAGAGAUUUUGACAAGUCUUACAUGUUUUCUGCUCCAUUCUUUGGGUCAAGAACACGCUGGUUAAUAGCCAAUUAUUUCAUACCCUAAGGAAGUUUUGGGAAAGAAGUUCCUGAGAAGACAACUUGUUUUAGGAAAUCGGGCUAAUAUUCAGUAGAAAGCCAAUGUGCCACAGCCAUGUUCCACUUAUGCCCUCCAAGCUACAUUUAAGUGGCCUUCUGUUGCCCUUGAGGUGUGUUUUACACAGGAAGCUUAAAGCCUUAUGCAGGCCUACAGCUUACUCACUGGAGCGAGGGAAAGAUGGCUUUUCCUCUCUUCUGGUCUCUUCAGGAAGAAAAUCAAAUAAUUGGAUUACUGGCCCUUCAAUUGUGCUCAGCACAGAUGGUUCAAAAUCCCAUUGUAUUGGACCUCUGAGAUGAAAUGUAAUUGAUAAAGGAAACAAAUGUAUUAAAUUGGUCUAAUAUGUCAAUAGUAUGCUAUUAUCUGAUUAAGGAAUGGCUAUGACUGGUCUUCCGAACAGCCAAAUAUAUGUAAGCGGUCUGCUGCUGCUAGACUGGCCACAUGAACAAAACAAAUAAAACAAGAAAGGCCCACCCACAGGAGCCUACUAGAGGCACGAAUUACUGCAGAUUAUCCUUUCUUGCUUAUUUUUAUCUCUGAAAUAGAAAAUCAAAGCAAACAGAUCAAUCCAUUGCAGGGUUAAAAUUAAAAUUACUGAAGAAUCUACGCAUCAUAUGAAAUAUUUGGCCUGAUAGAGUAGAACCUGAAUGUUUUGUUCUACUUAUACAUUCAUGUGCAUUGACUUGAACUUUGAGUUUCCCACUCUGUUGUUUUUUGUUACUUGCACAUAUAUUUUAUGUAUUUAUUUAGGACUAAAUUCUAUUUGUUGCACUGUGGUUUUAAAACAUAGUAUCAGCUAAGACUGGGAGGAGCAUCCUAACAGAUUUUAGACUACUUUAUUAUUGUCAUUAUUCUGCAUAUUCACAUGUGCAUAUAAUGAUCCAAAAUAUUUUGAGGCAAAUCAUUCAAUUGUGCAAAAUAAAUAGGUCCAUGUGAAAGUGUAACUGAGGUAAAUCCCUGUUGUUUACACAGUGGAGAAAACUGUGAAGAAAACAGCCAAGGGUUUGAUUCUUACAUUUUAUGUUAGACUGUUUUCUCGUCAUGUUUCUUGUUAAAAUCAUUAUCUUACUGUCCUUUUGUAUUUAUAUGCCUACAGAGCAAUAAACAGCUAGUGAAAUGAGGCUG
ensembl:lncRNA